rnacentral:rRNA from 1 species
GACCGAGGGUGCAAACGUUGUUCGGAAUUACUGGGCGUAAAGCGCGUGUAGGCUGCUUCGCAAGUCGGAUGUGAAAGCCCUGGGCUCAACCCAGGAAGUGCAUUCGAAACUGCAGAGCUGGAGUCCUGGAGAGGAAGGCGGAAUUCUCGGUGUAGAGGUGAAAUUCGUAGAUAUCGAGAGGAACACCGGUGGCGAAGGCGGCCUUCUGGACAGUGACUGACGCUGAGACGCGAAAGCGUGGGGAGCAAACAGG